rnacentral:lncRNA from 1 species
UUUUUUAAUAAAGUGCCUGAGAUCAUAAAAAGUUAUGGGGUUUUUUUGACUUUUUUGUGGCUUUGUUUGUUGUUGUUGCUGUUGUUUGGUGGGUUUUUUUGUAGAUUUCACAGGUUGCUUUGUUGAGAAAUUGUAUUCCACUGGGAUGAAAUUUUUAUACUGGUUCCCACAGAAGCAAGAGCUAGGAGCUUCCUGAUGCUUAAUGUGUCAGAAAAACUAAGUGCUUUUCUGGCAAACUCUCAGAAGAAGGCCUUCCUAUACCACCAGAAGGAGCAUUUUAUAAGAUAGAGAAGCUACCAUCAGCCAGCAAGCAACAAGCUGAGAUUUUGACACUUCACAAAGAUACAUGCCAGAACAUAAAAUGAAGCCACUGAGGGAUAAGAAAAAGGAACAAUUGCCAAAUCACAAUUCAAUUAAAAGUUUCUGGGAGAUUUAUGACACUGCCAUAAAUGCCAGUGGAACUGCCUGAGCUGCAGCAGGUCAUCCAGCUGAACCAGUGAGGAGGUGAGGAAAGCAGCAAUAAUCAUGAUAACUCUGUCCUACCAUCUUCAUCUGGGCAUGUGUAACAUAUAUCAAGUCAAGGCAUCAUUUGUGGCUUGAGAAGGAAAAUCAAAAGUGAAUAUUUAGAAUAUAAAUACUUUAUUGCAGUCCAGCUCCUGAAGUUUGAAUGACAGGUUUUCUAAUGAUUCUAGUACCUGGAAAAAGAAAAUAAAGCCUACCUCUGAGGUCCUUGGAUUGAACA